GACGAACGCUGGCGGCGUGCUUAACACAUGCAAGUCGAACGGAAAGGCCCGGCUUUUGUGGGGUGCUCGGGUGGCGAACGGGUGAGUAACACGUGAGUAACCUGCCCUUGACUGUGGGAUAACUUCAGGAAACUGGGGCUAAUACCGGAUAGGAGCUCCUGCUGCAGGGUGGGGGUUGGAAAGUUUCGGCGGUUGGGAAUGGACUGGCGGCUUAUCAGCUUGUUGGGUGGGUAGUGUAUGACCAAGGCUUUGACCGGUAGCCGGCCUGGGAGGGGGACCGGCCCAGUCGCGCUGGGGCUACGGCACAGCCCAGUACGGGACGCAAGAGAGGGGUAUAUUAUACUAUGGGAGGAAGGCUGAUGCAGUCCAGCCGCGCGGGGGAUGACGGGAAUCGCGUUGUAUACCGAUGCCCCCUGAGACGAGGUGAGAGUGACGGUACUGGGUAAAGAAGCACCGGCUAACUACGUG
rnacentral:rRNA from 1 species